rnacentral:rRNA from 1 species
UACUACCGAAGCUACGGCAUCAGUAAUGAUGGGUAGGGGAGCUUCCCAGACGGGUUGAAGCAUGACCGUAAGGACAUGGGGACAGUAUGGGAGUGAGAAUGUUGGCAUGAGUAGCGAGAUGUGGGUGAGAAUCCCACAGGCCGUAAACCCAAGGUUUCCAGGGGAAGGUUCGUCCGCCCUGGGUUAGUCGGGACCUAAGCUGAGGC